CACACCUGAGUGGAGACGAGCAUUCAGAUCAUUAACACAAGAAGAAGCCACAGGUAUUCCUGAGCUCUGAGAUCACACAUUUCUUGAGAGUAUCUUGUUUUAACCCUCCUGUUGUCCUCAUUUACAGGCACCAAAAAAUAUUGUUUCCUUGUCUGAAAAAAAUCCCAAAAUUCAGCAAGAAAUUCCCCAAAUUUCUGAAAAUUUUCAAAACCUUCAGGAAGAAAAUUCCAAUACUUCCUUAAAAGUUUCCCUUAAAAGUUUUAUUUCAAAAAUAAAAACAAAUUUGGCAAGAAAAUUCAAAAAAUGAGUAAAAAUCUUCCCCCAAAAAUGAAAAAAUAUCCAAAGUGAUUACAUGUAUAUCAGUAAAACUUCUGUUUUCUUCAAGAACAUUCAGAAAAAAAUCAAAACUGUGAUUUUUUCUGAAUGUUGUGAAAGAAACAUUUUUUUUAACGCUUCUUUUUUUCCACCAAAAACAUUUCUGAAAAAUGUUGAAAAUGUGCAAGUUUUCACUCUUGAAAAUCUAAUUUUUUUCCACAUUUUCAAACUUCAAAACGGGUCACUUUGACUUGCAGGACGACACGAGGGUUAAAUGUGCAGGAAAAACUGCGUUAUCUUUAAAAACUGAGCAAGUAUUUCAUUCUAACCCAAAGGUGACACAUUCAUCACCACUGUGUAUCAGUACUUGAACAUUUGCUGCUAGAAAGUCUUUUUUUUUUUCCAUCAGCAACAACCGCAAAUUUGGUCCAAAUGUCAGACUUUCUCUGUAAUAACCUGCUUUAAUCUUCUUUUCAGCUUUAUUUGUUGACUCUUUCUGCUUGGGGUAAAUGCAUUUUUGUGUCCAUUUGGGAUUUCAAACUGGACCAGAGAGCAAACAUGACAUUCUGUGUGGGUGGAGGAUCAUCGCUGGUGGUAACCAGUCAGUCUGCAGCUACAAACCAGAGCCCAAACAGCAGCUUUAACCAGUUUCCAGGACUGUAGGAGGAACAUCAGGCAUUUUCGCUGCACUGAGACACUGGAACAUCCACAUACCACCACGUCACAGUUCAGGCUGUUUGCACCGAAUGUUCAGACAUUUCAGGUCUUAACAGUCCAACCCUUGGAGAUGAAUUCUAGGUGUACAACCACGUGAAUGUUGAAGAAAACAACUCCUGGUAGCUGCACACCCACUUCCAGCUAUUAGCGACGAUCCUCCACGUGACAGUCGGAUCAUCAAGCUGCUGACUCACACAGAAUGUGAUGUUUGAAAUCCAUAAAGAAAUCGCAAAUGUGCACAUAGUGGUGGCCACAAAAACAUCUGGAAUAAUCUGGACAGUUUUAGAACCUUCUGAUCACACCACGUUAUUUAUCUGUGUUUUAUGCUUGUAAAGACAUAUAAGCUGUGUGUUCUGAUAGUCUGCAUGAUGUAAUAACAAAUAAUUUUACUACAAACGACGGCUCUAAAACCGUAAUCUACACUUUGUAAGAGAAUAUGUAUGUAGAGAAAAAAAUAAGAAGUAAACUGCUCUUGUUAACUCGGAUUGUUUUAAUUAACCCACCUGUUGUCCUCGUUUAUGGGCACCAGAAAAUAUUUUUUCUUGCCUAAAAAAAAUCCAAAAUUUCAGCAAAAAAAUUCCCCAAAUUUCUGUAAAUUUACAAAAACCUUCAGGAAGAAAAUUCCAAUAAUUCCUUAAAAGUUUCCCUUAAAAGUUUUAUUUUAAAAAAAAAUCCCCCACACUUCACAAGAAAAUUCUUGUAAAUAUUUUCAAAAAAUGAGUAAAAAUCUUCCAAAAAAAAAAAUCUUAAAAAUAUCUUAAGUGAUUCCAUAUAUAUCAGUAAAACUUCUAAUAUUUUCUUUAAGAACAUUCACAUAAAAAUCAAUAGAUUUUUAUGUGAAUGUUCUUAAGAAACAUUUUUAACAUUUCUUUUUUUCCACCAAAAAAUAUUCAAAGAUUUCCCAAAAAUGUUGAAAAUGUGGACAUCAGAAGUUUCACUGUGAAAAUAUUUUUUUUCUUUAAAUUUGCAAAACAUUCCGGAAGAAACUCCAAUAAUUCCUUAAAAGUUUCCCUUAACAGUUUUUGAAAAAAAAAAAAAAAAAUCAAUAAAUAAAAUCCUGCAAAUCUGGCAAGAAAAUUCUUGUAAAUAUUUUCAAAAAAUGAGUAAAAAUCUUCCAAAAAAAAUCCUACAAAUAUCUAAAGUACUAAAACUUCCAAUAUUUUCUUUAAGAACAUUCACAUAAAUAAUGAUUUUUUUUGUGGAUGUUCUUAAAGAAACAUUUUUAACAUUUCUUUUUUUCCACCAAAAAAUGUUCAAAGAUUUCCUAAAAAUGUUGAAAAUGUGAACAUCAGAAGUUUCACAGUGAAAAUAUAUAUUUUUUUUCCACAUUUUCAAACUUUAAAACAGGUCACAGUUUGACCCCCAGGACAACAGGAGGGUUCAGUAAUUAAACGCAUCCAUAAACACAUUAUGAACAAGUUUCCAUGGUUGGACUGAUGCUCUGAAAUCAAAGUUCUGCUAUAAUUUACACGAGUCUGAACAAGACUGCCUUUAGAGGAGGAUGUGAAACUGUAAAAUCAAUACAGAUAGCACAGCGAUAAACUUUACAGCCCAGACGUUUUCUUUUUAUGGCGCUCGUUACUCGGCGUCCCUGAAAGAAGACGCCCGCUCACCUCCCACUUGGUCUCCUCCAGCCGAGGCCCCAGCUGGAUCUUCUCGUGUUCGUAGGAGGUGCAGCGUUCCUCCAGCUGCUCCCUCUCCUUCAGAAGCUGAGCAAAGUCCUCCUGCAGCUUCUUCUUCUCCUGCUGGAGCUGGAAAACCUGCAGCCACGACGACACCACAAGUAGCAGUAAAAAUAGAAACUCACAGGAUAAGAGUCAACAAAAACCAGCACAGUGGAAUGUGAAAGUGAUCGUUAAAAAAUCCUCUCCUUCUUUCCACAAAAGGUUUCGCAUAUGGACAUGUAGAUUUCAUUUAAAUAGCUAAGCAGGACGCUACACACUUUCAAUUCUCAAUUUGGAAAACAAUAAAUCACCCAAAAAACCUGUUUAAUGCUCUUAAGUUAAAUGUUACCUGUGCAGAAAACUUUUAUGAUGAAAUUAAAGCAUUUGAACAUCUAAAUAAUAUAAUUCAGGAGGACGCCGACCAACUUUUGUCGUUUUGUGUCUCGUUUUUUGUCAUUUUGUGUCUCAUUUUUGUAAUAUUUUGUCUUAUUUUUGUUGUUUUUUUGUCCUUUUUUUCCUAACUUGUUGUUUUGUUUCUCAUUUUUGUCAUUUUGUGGUUCCUUUUUGUCUUGCUUAUGUUGUUUACUUUUCUGCUGUUUUGUUUCUUGCUUUUGUCAUUUUUGGUGUUGUUUUUGUAGUUUCUCCAUUUUUUUUGUCACUAACUUUUUUGUCUAAUUUUUUGUCUCUUUUGUUUCAUGUCAUUUGUCUAAUUUUUGGCACUUUGUGUUUCAUUUUGGUCAUAUUUUGUCUUAUUUUUGUUGUUUUUUCUGUCUGAUUUUGGUCGUGUUUCUCAUUUUUGUCGUUUUGUGUUUCCUUGUUGUCUUACUUGUGUUCUUUGUCUUAUUUUUGUCAUUUUGUUUUGCUUUAUUUGUUGUUUUGUGUAUCGUGUGUUGUUUUGUAUUUUUUUGUCUCUCCUGUGGUGUUUGUUUACUUUUUUGUUUUGCUUCUCGUUUUUGUCAUUUGUCACAUUUUUUUUUAUCAUUUUGUGUCUCAUUUUUGUAAUAUUUUGUCUUGUUUUUGUUGUCUUUUGUCUUUUUUGUCUGACUUUUGUCAUUUUGUUCAUAAAGUCAAAAACUGUAAGUAAAUGUUUUGCGCCUUUCUAGAAACUCUGCGAUCUCUAAAUUAAAAUGUGUAAAUGAAAUUUCACUUAUUUUUCUUAAUAAAUUUCAGGUUGUUCAUGAUGUUUUGUAAAAAGAUAAUUCCUUAAAUGUGAAUAUUUCAGAAUGUACUUUUUUUGCACUAAAACAAAGGAACCAUUAGGAGUUGUGGUUGUUUAUUAUGCUGUGAUUUUUCUGGUCCGGUCCACUUGAGAUCAAAUUGGGCUGAAUGUGGAACCUGAACUAAAAUGAGUUUGACAAGCAGGAAUUCAGCUUUCAUAACUAACUGUGUAGCUAAAUAGUGGCAGAUUGGGUGUUUUUUCAAGUCAUGUGUAUUUGAAAGUAGCACAAGUGUAAUUUGAUAAAGAACCCAUAAGCAGAAGCAAAAAUAAAAUUUUGAAAUGUGA